CUGUCCCUAGGCAGCGUGGCGGACGGCUGAGUAAGACGUAGACAACCUACCCUGAGGACGGGGACAACCUCGGGAAACUGAGGAUAAUCCCCGAUAGGAGAGAGAUACUGGGAUGUUCUCUCUCCCAAAAGCCUUUGGGGAAUGGCUCAAAGGCGCCUCAGGAUGGGUCUGCGGGGGAUUAGGGUAGUUGGUGAGGUAACGGCUCACCAAGCCGAUAAUCCCUAGGGGCUAUGGAAGUAGGAGCCCCCAGAAGGGCACUGAGACAAGGGCCCUAGCCCUACGGGGUGCAGCAGCCGCGAAACCUCCGCAAUGCGCGUAAGCGUGACGGGGGGACUCCGAGUGGUAUAGGUCAAAGCCUAUACCUUUUCCCGAGUGUAAAUAGCUCGGGGAAUAAGGGUGUGGGCAAGACCGGUGGCAGCCGCCGCGGUAACACCGGCGCCUCAAGUGGUACCCACGAUUAUUGGGCUUAAAGCGCCCGUAGCCGGCCGAGUGUUUACACUGUGAAAUGCUGGGGCUUAACUCCAGCGCGUGCAGUGUAUAC
rnacentral:rRNA from 1 species